AGAAAGAAAGGAACAGAGAGAGAGAUACUUAUAUUACUAUUAUUUUGCUGUUGUGAGUCAUUCCAAUCUAAUGGUCAACUAUAGGAGGACAACCAAAUAUUGUAUUAAAGGGAUGAACCUCCCACUGGAAUUCUGUUGCUCUGAUGUUAAUGUCCGGGAUCCAAGACGAGACCAAUGGAGACAGGAAAUUGCCACGACAUUUGGCGACGAGGAUGAGAUGUGAAUCUUCACUCGAUGACCGCUCCUGACGACCUGGUAAAUCGUGCACAAGGGAUCCCUCAAACUUGGGAUCUCAGGGAGACCACACUUCGGGAACGGAGCAGUUGGACCAACCUAAAAUCUGAGAGGAAGCGAGCCGAGUGGAUACCACAUCCCGAACAUAGUAAAAAA